GCCUCUGUAGCUCAGUUGGGUAGACCGCUGCACCGGAAUCGCAGGGCCGUAGGUUCGAUUCCUACCAGAGGAC
rnacentral:tRNA from 1 species